CCCGAGCGGCGAGACGGGAGGAGGCGGCGGGGCCGCCGGCGGCUCCAGUGCCCGGGGCGGGGGAGUCCGGUCCCGGCCCGGCUACCUGAGAGCGGCGCGGGGCUCGGGCGGCCUCAGUGCGCAGGUGCGCCAAGAGCAGCAGAAGUGACCAUGGAAGAGGCAGCGGGAGGGAGAAUCCAGAGCCCACUUGCCAGGAGUCAGUACAGGAGGAAAUGGGAGAGCUUGGAGGCAGAUGCCAUCCUAGAGAAAAAUCUUGAGAGCAAGUCUUUCAGCCACAAGAAACCAACCGACUGUUCCUAACUCCAAUUGCCAUGGAACUGUCCAGUACCAAAUUCUGUUCCUUGCAUUAAAGAAGCAUCAUCCCAUUCUUCAUGCUGUUUGAUUACCAGGGAGUCCCAGCAUGCCAGUGAUUCUGAGGAUGAUGCAUCUUUAUCUAACACCUCUCAUGAUGCACUUGCCCUUGGACCAGCCAGAUGUUGAAAACACUCCACAAGGGCUUCCAAGGAUGUUAGUAGGAAGCAGAAUAAAGGAGGUGCUUCUGGAGUCCAUUUCAGGCCUUGAUGAGUUAUGAAGAUGACAGAACGUUGGUUUUCCUGG